CUGGCAUCAUCCUGGGCAAAUCCCCCGAGGGCCCCAGGCCUGCUUGACAAUGGCUCGGCCUGAACACGGGGGUCAUCACACUACCUAGCAGGUCCCCUGAGGGCAGGAUGCAGGCCAGCUGGCCAAGGCUGGGGUGCACAGGGCCAGACCUGGGCCCCUGCUUGGCCUCCAUGCUUCACGCUACUCCAGCUGCCUGGGCCACUUUUGUUAGGCCCCUACAUUCUGUGCCUUGGAGAUGGUUGGUGCCUUUGAACAGCUGCCUUUUAUUCCUGCACGGUUCCUGAGGCCAGAAGCCUGAAGUAAGCGUCCCUGGGACAAAUCAAGGGGUCAGCAGGCCAUAUGCCCUCUGAAACCUGUAGGGGACAAUCUUUUCUUUGCCUCUUCCAGUGUCUGGUGGAGGCUGGCGUUUCUGUGGCCACGUAGGCUGCU
rnacentral:lncRNA from 1 species